rnacentral:rRNA from 1 species
UCCGUAGGGGGCAAGCGUUGUCCGGAUUUAUUGGGCGUAAAGAGCGUGUAGGCGGUUUGGUAGGUCCGCUGUGAAAACUCGAGGCUCAACCUCGAGACGCCGGUGGAAACCAUCAGACUAGAGUCCGGAAGAGGAGAGUGGAAUUCCUGGUGUAGCGGUGAAAUGCGCAGAUAUCAGGAAGAACACCCGUGGCUAAGGCGGCUCUCUAGUACGGUACUGACGCUGAGACGCGAAAGCGUGGGGAGCGAACAGG